rnacentral:snRNA from 1 species
CUCACGUUGACAUGACAUAUACUAAAACUGGAAAGAUACAGGGAAAAUUAUCAUGGCUGACAUGCACAUACAUGAAGCAUUCCCUAUUUCU